rnacentral:rRNA from 1 species
ACUACGGGAGGCAGCAGUGGGGGAUAUUGCACAAUGGGGGGAACCCUGAUGCAGCGACGCCGCGUGGGUGAAGAAGCGCCUCGGCGCGUAAAGCCCUGUCAGCAGGGAAGAAAAUGACGGUAACUGGAGAAGAAGCCCCGGCUAACUACGUGCCAGCAGCCGCGGUAAUACGUAGGGGGCAAGCGUUAUCCGGAUUUACUGGGUGUAAAGGGGGCGCAGCCGGCGAUGCCAGCCAGGAGUGAAAGCCCGGGGCCCAACCCCGGGACUGCUCUUGGAACUGCGUGGCUGGAGUGCAGGAGGGGCAGGCGGAAUUCCUGGUGUAGCGGUGAAAUGCGUAGAUAUCAGGAGGAACACCGGUGGCGAAGGCGGCCUGCUGGACUGCAACUGACGUUGAGGCCCGAAAGCGUGGGGAGCAAACAGGAUUAGAUACCCGGGUAGUC